rnacentral:rRNA from 1 species
UUUAUGGAGAGUUUGAUCCUGGCUCAGGAUGAACGCUGGCGGCGUGCCUAAUACAUGCAAGUCGAGCGAACAGACGAGGAGCUUGCUCCUCUGACGUUAGCGGCGGACGGGUGAGUAACACGUGGAUAACCUACCUAUAAGACUGGGAUAACUUCGGGAAACCGGAGCUAAUACCGGAUAAUAUAUUGAACCGCAUGGUUCAAUAGUGAAAGACGGUUUUGCUGUCACUUAUAGAUGGAUCCGCGCCGCAUUAGCUAGUUGGUAAGGUAACGGCUUACCAAGGCAACGAUGCGUAGCCGACCUGAGAGGGUGAUCGGCCACACUGGAACUGAGACACGGUCCAGACUCCUACGGGAGGCAGCAGUAGGGAAUCUUCCGCAAUGGGCGAAAGCCUGACGGAGCAACGCCGCGUGAGUGAUGAAGGUCUUCGGAUCGUAAAACUCUGUUAUUAGGGAAGAACAAAUGUGUAAGUAACUAUGCACGUCUUGACGGUACCUAAUCAGAAAGCCACGGCUAACUACGUGCCAGCAGCCGCGGUAAUACGUAGGUGGCAAGCGUUAUCCGGAAUUAUUGGGCGUAAA